rnacentral:rRNA from 1 species
AUGCCGCCCGCCGCCACCUUCUCGUCGUUCUCCGCGUUGAUGCGCCGGCCUCCGCCGCCGGCCCGGCGCCUCCUCGUCGCCGCCGCGCGCGCGCACAGCACUGCCGGGGCCAGCCGUGCUCGCGGCGGCCUGCCGCGGUUCCACUCCCCGUCUCUCCCCUCGUCCAAGGGUGAGGUGGUUCGCAUCCAAGGCGACGAGUUCUGGCACAUGACACGGGUGUUGCGCCUUGGUAUCAAUGACAGGGUUGAACUAUUUGACGGGGCUGGUGGCUUAGUUGAAGGAUCCAUACAAAAAGUUGACAAGAAUGGAUCAGAUGUUGAGUUGGUAGAGAAUGCUAGGCUCAUUGCUCCUCAAGGAAUUCAAUGGCAUGUCUUUGCUGCAUUUGGGACGCUGAAAGGCGGACGCGCAGAUUGGCUUAUAGAGAAAUGUACUGAACUUGGCGCUUCCAGUGUUACGCCUCUUUUGACUGAACGAUGCCAUACGAUAGCAGAAAAUAGAGUGGACAGGUUGCAACGGCUGGUGUUAGCUGCAGUUAAACAAUGCCAGAGAGUGCAUGAUAUGUCACUGAAGCCCCCAAUCCAGAUACAUGAUCUUCCGCUGGCUGUAAGCACUCACUAUCCAUUCUUUGUGACCUUUGCGCGUAACACUGCAACCAAUCAGAUGCUCAUGCAUUGGCUGCUUGGAAUUUUCUGUUAUCAGGUGUCACAAUCGAAGCUUGCUUUCUUAGCAUCUGCUGAAGCGCCUCCUGUUUUGAGCGUUUUGCCAAAGUGCAGCAGCGAGGAGGAAAGUGGGCUUUUAAUCAUUGGACCGGAAGGAGGUAACGUAGUAACUCUUGCGUGCUUUCUAUCCAUCUAUCUAUCAAAGUGUUUCAACGAGAGCGACACCUGGUCAGUAUUAGCAUAA